CCUACGGGGGGCAGCAGUGGGGAAUAUUGGGCAAUGGGCGAAAGCCUGACCCAGCCAUGCCGCGUGAGUGAUGAAGGCCUUAGGGUUGUAAAGCUCUUUCAGUGGGGAUGCGGUACCCACAGAAGAAGCCCCGGCUAACUUCGUGCCAGCAGCCGCGGUAAUACGAAGGGGGCAAGCGUUGUUCGGAUUUACUGGGCGUAAAGGGAGUGUAGGCGGUUCUAUAAGUCAGGCGUGAAAGCCCGGGGCUCAACCCCGGAAUUGCGUUUGAGACUGUAGAACUUGAGUGUCUGAGGGGUAAGCGGAAUUCCCAGUGUAGAGGUGAAAUUCGUAGAUAUUGGGAGGAACACCGGUGGCGUAGGCGGCUUACUGCGACAACUGACGCUGAGGCUCGAAAGCGUGGGGAGCAAACAGGAUUAGAUACCCUUGUAGUC
rnacentral:rRNA from 1 species